CAGAACGAACGCUGGCGGCAGGCCUAACACAUGCAAGUCGAGCGAGAAAGGGGCUUCGGUCCUGAGUAGAGCGGCGCACGGGUGAGUAACACGUGAAUAAUCUGCCCCUUAGACCGGGAUAACAGACCGAAAGGACUGCUAAUACCGGAUAAGCCCACGUCCCAACCGGGGAUGCGGGAAAAGCACGGGACCGCAAGGCCGCGCGCUUUGGGAUGAGUUCGCGUUCCAUUAGAUAGUUGGUGAGGUAAUGGCUCACCAAGUCGACGAUGGAUAGCUGGUCUUAGAGGAUGAUCAGCCACACUGGAACUGAGACACGGUCCAGACUCCUACGGGAGGCAGCAGUGGGGAAUCUUGCGCAAUGGGGGAAACCCUGACGCAGCCAUGCCGCGUGAGCGAUGAAGGCCUUCGGGUUGUAAAGCUCCGUCUAAGGGGACGAAUGGCGCUGUGAACAAGACACACGGCGAUUGACGGUACCCUUAAAGAAAACACCGGCUAACUCCGUGCCAGCCGCCGC
rnacentral:rRNA from 1 species